UGGUGGAGCAUGUGGUUUAAUUCGAUGCAACGCGAAGAACCUUACCUACUCUUGACAUCCACAGAACUUAGCAGAGAUGCUUCGGUGCCUUCGGGAACUGUGAGACAGGUGCUGCAUGGCUGUCGUCAGCUCGUGUUGUGAAAUGUUGGGUUAAGUCCCGCAACGAGCGCAACCCUUAUCCUUUGUUGCCAGCACGUAAUGGUGGGAACUCAAGGGAGACUGCCGGUGACAAACCGGAGGAAGGUGGGGAUGACGUCAAGUCAUCAUGGCCCUUACGAGUAGGGCUACACACGUGCUACAAUGGCAGAUACAAAGUGAAGCGAACUCGCGAGAGCAAGCGGACCACAUAAAGUCUGUCGUAGUCCGGAUUGGAGUCUGCAACUCGACUCCANGAAGUNNNAAUCGNC
rnacentral:rRNA from 1 species